rnacentral:lncRNA from 1 species
CGCUCUAGUUAGUGGUGUUUGGUAGAAAUGAUUUGUCUAGUAAUUAUUAUGUUGGCCACAAAAAUGUGCUAGGCUAGUUUUGCACGGUUGGCCACAUGUAGGGUUAUUGUGACAGUUGUAAGAGCUAUAAAUAUUAGUGUGGUUGGUGAAGUGGGGGUUCUUUUUCUUAUUUCUUUUAUUUUUCUCUGUUUUUAUUCUAGUAAACCGAU